AAGGCACUGAAAAUGCCUAGAUGAGUAUAUUAACUCCAUAAACA
rnacentral:tRNA from 1 species